UACGUAGGGGGCUAGCGUUGUCCGGAAUCAUUGGGCGUAAAGCGCGCGUAGGCGGCCCGGUAAGUCCGCUGUGAAAGUCAAAGGCUCAACCUUUGAAUGUCAGCGGAUACUGUCGGGCUAGAGUCCGGAAGAGGCGAGUGGAAUUCCUGGUGUAACGGUGGAAUGCGCAGAUAUCAGGAGGAACACCAACGGCGAAGGCAGCUCGCUGGGACGGUACUGACGCUGGAGGCGCGAAAGCGUGGGGAGCGAACAGG
rnacentral:rRNA from 1 species